rnacentral:sRNA from 1 species
AUAGCCGCCAUCGCGGCCAUGACCCAUGUAAUCGAUGUCGGCAAGACUGUCGUCGUCGCGGUUGUAGAUCGAGAAGUCGACCAUGACGCGCUCGCCGAUGCGC